UUAACACACUACAAACUCAAAUCAUGUACAAACUCAGAAUAUUCUUGGCCACUACUGCGAGAAUAUGAGAGACCCAUUUACAGAAACAAGUGUUGACAACAUUUCAGCCAAGAUGAGUCGCGUUAAGCUGGAAGGUGCAAUGUCGGAGACGGAGGAGGCGUCUGGCGGCUCAGUGACA